rnacentral:lncRNA from 1 species
AUUGCAGGGUCUGGGUCGGUUGAUAUGGGGAGAGGCACUCCUUGAAGUAUUACAUUCUAAAUGGGUAAGCUGUCUCUUCCAGUUCAGUGCCCUUUGUUAAUAUUUUGCUUAUAUCUGCUGAAAUAUCUAAAAAACCAGUCUGAAAAGACCAUUUUCCAGAACAAUUUGAUUUUUUGUUUUCGUUUGGUAGAAUAAAUUAUUGGCCCACUGCAGGUGUAAUGUCUUCAUUGGUUAGGCUUGCACUUUCCCCCACUUCUACACAAUUUCCCUUCUCCUCUUCAUUUAACACUAUGUCUGCAUCACCACUACCUGUGGCCCCAAUCUUAACACCAAAGCUGUUUUGCAAAUCCUGAUUAAGAGGAACCUGGACAGUAUAAACCAUCAUUAGAUUCUGUGUAGGUGUCAUAUUAAUUCAAUUUCAUUGAAUUCUACAAUAUACUUUGGGUUGUUGGUGGAAGGGUAGAACCUCUGGUUGGGGGCAUUUCAUGUUCCUUCUGGGCUAGUUUGUCCACCUUUGGUCCCCACCCUGCACUCAGCUCUCACCUGUGGCUCCUGGAUGCUGUCAGCAUGUGACAGCGACCACACCCCAGGAAACGCCUUUGACUGGACAGCUAACUCAGGUGAGGGAGGAUGAUGGGUCUCUGAAACCCUCAAUGAGUUAGGGACUUCCCCUACAUGCGAAGGCAGGCUCCGGUGCAUUGAGCAGAUGAGACCAAUAGUGAGUCCAGUGGUCAAGAAGGUGGUUGCUUCGUGUGCUGUAGAGGGAAAUGAGGGGCAGAUGGGGCUCAACUUCAGGAGUAAAUCCUGAGGAAAAAUCAGUAUCAGUAGAUUGUUUUAACUCCUUUUAAUAUUCUAUAUUCAAAUUGUUGUAAUCUGCCAUGGGAGCAUAUGUUGGAAGGGUGGGUAAGAAAUCUAAUGAUAAAGAUAAUGAUGUACAGUCAUUAUAAAGUUGUAUCUUCUAACUGAAAGGGUUUUUAAUAAAAAACAAGCAGUCCAGUUUGAAGUCAACCAUGGUUGCGUUUUGGGAAGAUGUAUCAAAUUAAGUGUUAGCACCGAGAACAAUGACUGUUAAUUAUUUUUGGGUGAUCAGUGGUGUAUAAAAAGGCAAUGGUUCUAUAUCCCUCUUUGUGCUCUCUGAGAUGUUACAGCUGUGCACUAAAUGUCACAGCUGCGUGAUGAUGCAAGCUGUCUUAGUGUGUUCUUUAAGUGCCAGAGCUGUGCUGGCCGAGGAAAGCUUUGAGGGGCAUCAGCAAUGAAGCUGAUACUUUUUACAAAAUGCCUAUAGCACCAAUAGUGCACACUUGUCCCUUUCAGCUGUGAGCCUCAUACUGUUGAAUAAAUUCCUGCCAAUCAAGUUGCCCAAGAAUGUUGCUUUGCCCAAGUCACACGGAAGAUAAGCAUGAUAGGCUCUCUUAUCAAACACUUAAGAGAUUGGGGAACACUGCGUCCAGAUUUCAAGUCAAAAUGGCAGAGUGUUUGUGUGGGUACCCAACAGCAGGAAUCUACGACUGAUGAUCUUGUAGUUACUGCAAGGCACGUUUUAGGUCCUUGAGCAUUCUGAUUUCUACUUUCUCAACCUCUUGGAUCUUGGCUGUAUCGUAUGUGAGCAGAAAGCAAGCUUCUGCUGUGGCUCUUUUCCCUGGCCUCCUCUUCAGAGGGUUGUGUUGUCCCAGGAUGCAGUGGGUGGGAUGUGGAAUAGGGUGAAAGAAUCUAGUCCUCCACUGAUGCUUGGUUGUUACAAUAUGAGUUAAAGCCUUCUGUGCUUUUGUAGUAGAUCUGCUAUGGCACACGUUGCCGCAGAACCCUUUUGAAAAUGUGCACAGUGUUUUCAACCUUAGAAGAUCAAGGACACACCUAGGCCUGUUUCCUGUGCUUAUUUUUUGAAGAAACAAAAGGACUUGUGAAACAAUAAAAGAUUUCUUUAACACUUCGGCUGUGUAGGAAUGCUUGUUUAGAAUUCUGAUACUGAUAGGAAACCUCAGCAGCAACCACAACUUGUCGCAAACAACCUCUAUAAGUGAAGUAUCUGUACCUUGUAUUAAUUGCAAAUUAGUCUAAUUAACAUUAGGAUCAUACUGAAAAUGAGGUGUGUGGUACUUCAGCAGCUAUAUACAUUUCUUUUUACUUGUUCAUGCUGCUGGUGCUGGUUUGCAUCAUGUGUGACUGUUGAGAGAAUGGCUUAGUUGUCGAACAAAUCUGUUCCCUAACGCUGCAAACCCAGAAGUAAGUGUUCCAGUUUGCAAACGUUUUUCAGAAGCUGAACGUCCGACGCGGCUUCCAUGGCUUCUAAUUGAGUGCAGGAAGCUCCUGCAGCCAAUCGGAAGCUGUGCCUUGGUUUUUGAACAGUUUCGGGAGUCGAAAGGACUCCCAGAAUGGAUUAAGUUCGAGAACCAAGGUAACACUGUAAUUUGCUUUGAAUACCCCAUGCCAUUUUAGGGUAAGUAUUGUGUGUUUGUGUGUGUGUAAAUGAAAGUUGAUUUAAGCCUGAUUCUUGCCUUUGCUUUAAUAUGCCUACCUUUUGGUGAAACAUUCAACCACUUUCUUUGGACAGUUUCGUCAUUUUGAGUUGGGGGAGGAUAAAAACACAUCUUUAAGAAUAUUUUUUAAAUGUGACCUAAGUUGCUUCCCCCUGCCCCAUUUUAAUUUGUAAUUAGAGUAAUAGUGUCUUUGCUGAAACUAAGCAGAUUUUUAAAAAGCAGGGUUAUGUGUAAAAGAUAGGGCAAUUAAGGGAGGACUUGUUAGGGUUCCUAAAAUGGUACACUGGUAUGGAGAAACUGGAUACAGACAAAUGUUUUCUUCCGUUCUCAUAUACACUAAGGGCAGGCAAAAUAUAAUAAUAUGCAAUACAUAAUUGCAUAUGUAGCUUGGUUUUUGCAAGGUGUGGUGAUGCCUUUUAAAAAGGGAUUGACACAUUCAUGAAGGAUGGGUCUGUCAUUGUCAAUAAGGAUGACCUAAAGGAACCCCCAUGUUCUCAUGCCCCCUAACUAAUAUUCAUAAGCGCCCUAUGACUGCAGGAAAUAGCUCUUGCCUUCAUCCCUGCUCAUGGUCUUCUCAGAAGCACCUGACUAGCCACUACUGUAGUGAGAUAAUGGUAUGAAAAUUUGAAUUUUUAUUACCGAUAGAGUUAAAGUUUUGUAAAUGGAUGUUUCUCAUUCAUAUUUGUAUUUUAUGUGCUAUACAGUGGUACCUCGGGUUACAUACGCUUCAGGUUACAGACUCCGCUAACCCAGAAAUAGUGCUUCAGGUUAAGAACUUUGCUUCAGGAUGAGAACAGAAAUCGUGCUCCGGCAGUACGGCAGCAGCAGGAGGUCCCAUUAGCUAAAGUGGUGCUUCAGGAUAAGAACAGUUUCAGGUUAAGUACGGACCUCCGGAACAAAUUAAGUACUUAACCCGAGGUACCACUGUACAUGUAAACCACCAUUGAAAGGGCGAUCCCUAUUAAACACAGGAUGUAUAUAUUCUACAACUCCACAUGAUGGCAGAAAACGCAGGAUGAUCUUGGUUUCCUCCAUUUCACACUAUGCACAUUAAAAUUUUGCUUCCUCUCUUUCCUGGGCACACGUCUGAAACUCAAGGAAGUCAUUAGAAGAGCAAAGAGCUACUUUCAAUAGGUUGGGGUAGAUAAUAGUAUGAAUUGAGUUCUACCACACUCAUCAUUGCUGAGGAUGACAUAGACUGAAAGCUUGGAGUUGUGUUCACUUUGUUCAAACCUUUUAAUGGGAACUUUUUCCAUUAUGCUGCAAAGUGUGGCCUUGCAUCCCUUAAACAAGAAUUGGGUGUGGAAGUAUUUUAUAUUUUGUGCUUUUCAGGAAGCACAAGAUACAUUAUUUUUCAGUGUGUGUCAUGUGGAUAUGUUUGCGAAUCUGACUUCAUCCCUUUGCUCCCUCCCUUCCUGGGAAAGAUCUCUCCACGUUCAAGGAGCUAAUGCAUUCACUGCAAUAUGGCAUUGUUAAGUGAAUAAAGAGCUGCUUUUAAGGUAAUUAAAUUUUCACCUCGGUGCCUAAUGAGGCUGAAGCAUCUUUUGAAAGCUUUGAGCCGCAUCAAUUUACUGUUUCCAGAGAUAUCCAUGAUAC